rnacentral:rRNA from 1 species
CGAACGCUGGCGGCGUGCUUAACACAUGCAAGUCGAACGGAAAGGCCCUGCUUUUGUGGGGUGCUCGAGUGGCGAACGGGUGAGUAACACGUGAGUAACCUGCCCUUGACUUUGGGAUAACUUCAGGAAACUGGGGCUAAUACCGGAUAGGAGCUCCUGCUGCAUGGUGGGGGUUGGAAAGUUUCGGCGGUUGGGGAUGGACUCGCGGCUUAUCAGCUUGUUGGUGGGGUAGUGGCUUACCAAGGCUUUGACGGGUAGCCGGCCUGAGAGGGUGACCGGCCACAUUGGGACUGAGAUACGGCCCAGACUCCUACGGGAGGCAGCAGUGGGGAAUAUUGCACAAUGGGCGGAAGCCUGAUGCAGCAACGCCGCGUGCGGGAUGACGGCCUUCGGGUUGUAAACCGCUUUCGCCUGUGACGAAGUGUGAGUGACGGUAAUGGGUAAAGAAGCACCGGCUAACUACGUG